rnacentral:tRNA from 1 species
GCGCCGGUGGUGUAAGGCGAACAUCGCUGCCCGGAAAGCAGAAGAUGCGGGUUCGGUCCCGCCUGGCGCA